CCUACGGGAGGCAGCAGUGAGGAAUAUUGGUCAAUGGGCGCGAGCCUGAACCAGCCAAGUCGCGUGAGGGAAGACGGUCCUAUGGAUUGUAAACCUCUUUUGUCGGGGAGCAAAAGACGCCACGCGUGGCGUUCCGAGAGUACCCGAAGAAAAAGCAUCGGCUAACUCCGUGCAAGCAGCCGCGGUAAUCCGGAGGAUGCGAGCGUUAUCCGGAUUUAUUGGGUUUAAAGGGUGCGCAGGCGGAAGAUCAAGUCAGCUGUAAAAUCGCGCGGCUCAACCGCGCCCCGCAGUUGAAACUGGUUUUCUUGAGUGAGCUAGAAGUAUGCGGAAUGCGUGGUGUAGCGGUGAAAUGCAUAGAUAUCACGCAGAACUCCGAUUGCGAAGGCAGCAUACCGGCGCUCAACUGACGCUCAUGCACGAAAGUGUGGGUAUCGAACAGGAUUAGAUACCCUGGUAGUC
rnacentral:rRNA from 1 species